rnacentral:misc_RNA from 1 species
AUUUUUUUGAAGGCUGUAUCUACUUUGGUUCUCAGGGAAAUCUCUGUAACCAAUCAUCAUCUAAAGCUUCCUUAGAGUUAGUUUUAACACAUUUUAUUGAAUCUAGAACCAGACCAAAGAAAUUUAUCACAAUUUUCUCAAUUCUUUAAGCUGCCAUAGUUGGAAUCUUGUUCAAAUAAUAAAAAUACAGCAGUACAGACUACAGAACAUUCUUGAAUGACAGUAACGUGACCUCAAAAAUGGAUGAAAGCCGUCUUACAACCAUCUUACUGCUUGGAAGUGCUAUGAAUUACUCUACUCAAAGACAUAGAAUGAGAAUUACCCUCUAAAAAUUUCUGUGAUGAGUUAAAAUCCAUUUCUAUAACCCAAGAAUUUUAGGAAAAGAUAUUUCUAAAUCAAGUUGAUCCUUUAAUGUUUUCUAAGAGUUCUCAGAUGUGUAUUGUUGGGCUUCUUUUGUUCCUUAUAAAAUUUUAUUAUCAUACUCAUUCUAAAAGAAGACAUGGGCUUGAUGUAAAUGCUUGUGAAAAAGUGUCUCUUUACUUGAUGUGUAUCGUAGUGUAAGUCAGUUCAUAAACUUGGUGUUUGAUUUGAGUGAAGACAUGUUGGAGUUGUUAAGAGUUUUAUCUGGUUGGCUGUGUCACAUGCAGCAGUACAUGAAGACAAUUCAAUAACUUUGAUCUGCAACAUGCUGAAA